rnacentral:tRNA from 1 species
GCGGAAGUGGCUGUAACUGGCAAACACGCGAGUCUCAAAAACUCGUGCCCUCUAGGGCGUGCAGGUUCGAAUCCUGUCUUCCGCACCA